rnacentral:lncRNA from 1 species
CUUUUAUUAUUAAAAUUAUAAAAAUGACAAAGAAGCAACAAAAUAAAAAAACAUGUAUAAUUAAAUAAUCAGUGAAUCAUAUUUAUAAACAACAUAUAUGUUUAUAAUGACAAAACCCUAUUGAUUUAUUCCAUCAAAGAUGAGAUUACAUUCGCCUAUCAAAAAUAGGGUUACAUUCGACCAUCAAAGGUGGGUUUACAUUCGAAUAUAAUAUAGACAUCUUUUAUAACCAAGUAAAAAUAUGAAUAGAAGAUCCAAAGGAUGCCUUACCUUAUUGAGUUGGUUAUGCAAAUGAAGGAAAGAAGCUCAACAAAUGAGGGAACAAGUAAAUGAGAGGGGAAAAAGCUAAAGAAGAUGACAGGAAACAAGAAAACAUAAUAUGAACCAGAAAAAAAAACUCUUGUAGAGAACAAAAUUAUUACAAUGCUAGGGACGAAAGAUUAAUGUUUGAUUUUAAUAAAAUAAUAUAACAAGGAACGUUGUAACAACAUAGAGACAUUGACAUUUGAUUACCGAUAUUCUUUUUAUACAUUUAUUUAAAAUUUUGAUAAAAUUGAGAAGGGAAAUGGGGAAUGUGUCAAAGAGACAACAACUCCACCAUAGAACAGAUAAAAGCAGAAGGUCACCAAUAGAUCUUCAAUACAGCGAGAAACUCCCGCAUCCGGAGGCGUGCUUCAGCUGGCCCCUAAACAAAUAUCUAUACUAGUUCAGUGACACUGGACGUCAUACUGAACUCGAAAUUAUACAUGUUAUACACUAGAAACUAAAAUAAAAAAUCAUACAAGACUAACAAAGGCCAGAGGCUCCUGACUUGAGAAGGCGCAAAAAUGCUGCGGGGUUAAACAUGUUUUUUGAUAUCUGAACCCUCCCCCUAUAUCUCUACUAAAUGUAGAAAAGUAAACGCAUAACAAUACGCACAGUAAAAUUCAGGUUAAGAGAAGUCCGAGUCCGAUGUCAGAAGAGGUUACAGAAGAAAAUAAACAAAAUGACAAUAAUACAUAAAUAACAACAGACGACUAGCAGUUACUGACAUGCCAGCUCCAGACCUCAAUUAAACUGAUUGAAAAUUAUGUCUUCAUUAUAUAAAUAUCAGGCACAAUCCCUCCAGUUAGGGGUUUAGUAUUAUACCAUCAUAAAAUAUAUGAGAAGAACAUAACCCGUGUCAUGCCAACAACUGGUUUUUAAAUAAAUGUGUUAAAUUCCAAUGCAAAGACUCUAUAAGUGAAUCAAUAUUAAAGGUUUUGUUAGCUUCUGAGGUGAAAACUUUUGUACUUUGUAAAGAAAAUUACCAUAAAAGAUUGAAUAUGAAAUACCUGAACGUAUAAGAAGUAUACAUGUUGACUUAUAUUUACGAAUGAUGUCCUUGUACCGAUGAUAAAAUUUAAUUAGUAAAUGUUUUGACUAGUUUGUGAUAUCGAAAACCCUGGUGUAACAAUUUUUCAGUAAUACAUAAAUUUCUCUCGCUAAAAUCUAAAACGUUGUUACAUACACGAGCGAAUCGUACAAGUUGAGAUAUAUAAACACCGUAAGAUGAUGACAAUGGAACGUCACCAUCUAAAAAUGGAUAAUUAACG